rnacentral:rRNA from 1 species
UACGUAGGGUGCAAGCGUUGUCCGGAAUUAUUGGGCGUAAAGAGCUCGUAGGCGGCUUGUCACGUCGACUGUGAAAACCUGGGGCUUAACUCCGGGCCUGCAGUCGAUACGGGCAAGCUAGAGUUCGGUAGGGGAGACUGGAAUUCCUGGUGUAGCGGUGAAAUGCGCAGAUAUCAGGAGGAACACCGAUGGCGAAGGCAGUGGUCUGGGCCGAUACUGACGCUGAGGAGCGAAAGCGUGGGGAGCGAACAGG